AUUUAAACAUCCAUCAUAAUGCUGAUGUUCCAUUGUUCACAUGAAUUUCACUGCAUGGUUUCCUGAUUGGAGAAAAGCACAACUGAUAGCAGAAAAAGCAAAAAUGUUAAGAAAUUGUUGUGUAUCUAAUCAUCUGAUGAUUGCUGUGGCUUGAUCUUUACUUCUCUUCCCAGCCAAAAAAUGUUGAAGAUCUUUGCUUUUCUUCUCAGCAUAUCCAUUGACAAGAUUAUUUUACUAUAGUAUACUUAACUAUUAAAGGAGAAUACAGUUUUUUCUUUACAGAGUAGCGUUAGUCCUCAUUCUUUGCUAAAAACAAUUAUUCACCAGGAGCCCAAGCAAAAGGCAAGGCAGUCAGGAGGCAGCCUCAAAAGAAAGGACAUCGAAUCGGAUGAGGACUCUCCUCCAAGGAAAGCUGCAACCCAUCGUCGGAUGGCAAUUGUUUAUGAUAGUGAUGAGGAGUAAGACCAUGGUUUCAAGGUGUACAAGAUAAGCAUCAACGGACAAUGCAAUGUUCAGCCUCAUCUGGAACUUUCAUGCAGAUAUUAAGAUUCGCAGUUGUUCCAUUCUAAAAUGCUAUCAUGGUUUUGCUCAUAGAGUGUUCUUUGGUAACUUUAUUUCUUUUAAGCUAGGAAUUUUAUUCCAAUUUAUUUUUGUAUGUAACUAUAUUCUCGUCUCUGUUAAACUAUGGUUGAUUGUAGAACUGCAUUAUGGCUGGAAAGAACUGCAAAUUUCUUAUUUAUAAAAGUUAGCUGACAAUUGUUAAUGUUGA